rnacentral:rRNA from 1 species
UGGGGAAUAUUGCACAAUGGGCGCAAGCCUGAUGCAGCCAUGCCGCGUGUAUGAAGAAGGCCUUCGGGUUGUAAAGUACUUUCAGCGGGGAGGAAGGUGUUGGGGUUAAUAACCUCAGCAAUUGACGUUACCCGCAGAAGAAGCACCGGCUAACUCCGUGCCAGCAGCCGCGGUAAUACGGAGGGUGCAAGCGUUAAUCGGAAUUACUGGGCGUAAAGCGCACGCAGGCGGUCUGUCAAGUCGGAUGUGAAAUCCCCGGGCUCAACCUGGGAACUGCAUUCGAAACUGGCAGGCUAGAGUCUUGUAGAGGGGGGUAGAAUUCCAGGUGUAGCGGUGAAAUGCGUAGAGAUCUGGAGGAAUACCGGUGGCGAAGGCGGCCCCCUGGACAAAGACUGACGCUCAGGUGCGAAAGCGUGGGGAGCAAACA